UAAUACGAAGGGCCCAAGCGUUAAUCGGAAUCACUGGGCUUAAAGAGUACGUAGGCGGACCAGAAGGUGCUUUGUGAAAUCCCUCGUCUCAACCGAGGAACUGCAGGGCAAACCACUGGUCUAGAGACAGGUAGGGGUCGUCGGAACGCUAGGUGGAGUGGUGAUAUGCGCUGAUAUCUAGCGGAACGCCGAAGGAGAAGUCAGGCGACUGGGCCUGUUCUGACGCUGAGGUACGAAAGCGUGGGGAGCGAACGGGAUUAGAUACCCCGGUAGUCCACGCCGUAAACGAUGCGCACUAGGUUGGAGAGGUUCUGACACCACUUCCGGCCGAAGCAAAAGUGUUAAGUGCGCCGCCUGGGGAGUACGGUCGCAAGGCUA
rnacentral:rRNA from 1 species